GCUUUGCUUUUUUUUUUUUUUUUUUUUUUUUAAGAAAAAGGUUUUCUAGUUUCUUCUACAUUAAAAAUAAUCCCUCCUUCUCAUAAAGCACAAUUUUACAGAGGAAAAGGGAGAUGUGAAACUAUACACAAUUCAAAUCUAAUUAAUAUAUAAUUUUUUUGUGGAAUACAGAUGGAGGGAAUACAUCACAAUACUAAAGGUGAUUAUCUUUGGAUGGUGGGAUUACAGGUGAUUAUAUAUUUUUUAUAUUUCUAUAGUUUAAAAAUAUUCCAUGAUGACCUAUAAUUACUUUUACUUAUUUUUUGAGACAAAAUCUCACCCUGUUGACCAAGGCUGGAGCGCAGUGGUGCAAUCUCGGCUUAGUGCAAUCUCGGUGUAGUCUCGACCUCACAGGCUCAAGUGAUCCUCCCACCUCAGCCUCCGGAGAAGCUGGGACUACAGCUCUUUGCCCAGCUUCCAGUGACUCCUCUGUGCCUGGAGAGAAGGGCAAGCGCCUUACUCAUGCCUUGAGGUUGCUGACCACUUCCGUCACCAGCCUCGCUCCUUCCAGACCUGCCCUGGGAGUCCCUGCCUCCUGGCCUUCACCUGCAUCACGGUCUGCACUUCUCAGAGCCCUGCCCUUCCUUGAAGAACAAAGCCUGGCCAAAUUGUGUCAGCCUUCUGGCCUGCAGUGACCCCUGCUUACAUCGUACAUAACAAUAGCUAUAACUUAUUGACAUUAACUUCAGGUCACAUAGCAAAAGUGCUCUCAUUUAAAUCUUAGGCCACCAGAGGAUCCAUAGACUAAAAUGUUAACAGCAUCUCCUGGAGUUGUGGAGUGUGGUGACCCUAUGUGAUCCUCCUGUGCCACUGAGAGAUAUAUUAUUAACCCAGUUUCACUGAUAAGAUAACUGAGGCUCAGAGAGGUCAAGUAACUUGCCCAUGGUCACACAGUGGGUCCAUGGCAGAGCUGGGAGGUGAUCCCUAGUCAGUUCCCUCCAAGUCCAGGAUUUUCUCACUCCCACAAUGGUGUCUCCCUUAAUGACUCUCACAUUCCAGCCUCUGAGGGCAGGAAGGGUAUGUUCUGAGUUGAACACACAGAGAGCACUCAAUGAUGUCUGGUGGUGAAGAUGUUAAUCAUGAGCUCAAUCAAGGUUUAUCAUUAAAUCAACAAGUCUUCCUAGUGUGUCUGGGAGCUCUGGGGCCCAGGGACAGGCCUACUGUAGUUCAGUGUUGUAUUCUGGCACCUGGUGGUUUCUGGCACAUAGCCCAUGUUCAUUAAAUGACAUGAAUUGAUUGUCCAUUCAAAUAAUAAAACAAUAAAUAAAUAAUACUAGCUAACAGGUAUGGAGUGCCUACAAGCCAGCCACCUCAGGGAGUUUCCAGGACAGUUGAGGAGAAACAUAACACUGUUGACAAGAGCUACAACGUAGGGUUUUACACCAAAACAGUGUCUACGUAAACAGUGUCUAUCAAAGAGAGAAAAAUGAUGGGCAGACACCCUGAUCCUUCCCACAGUGCUAAAGGCCAUGCCAGCCACUGUCCCCAUUACGACUUGCAUAUACUGACUGCCGAAGCACACAAACCUGAAUUUUCCGUCUGCAUCCAUCGUUCUGUCUGUUCGGAUCACAUCUGGAUACUACUGUUGCCUCUCCAGACUGGAUAACCAGUCUGCUGAGGGCCAGAAGAUGGUGAGAUGGAAACUAGUCAUGUUUACUUGGAGAAGAGAAAUGAAGACCGUCUUUAACACCUGACAGGUUGCUCUUCCCAAGAGGGGCCAGAGGGCAACAGCCAUGGUCAACAGCUCCAGGCACCCCUGAGGAAGCCUGCUCCAGCUGGCAGGGCUGUCUGGCAAGGGACCAGUCCCUCCUCUGGAGAAGUGGUGAGCCCAGUGGGCUGCCUCUCCAGCAGGAUCCUGUAGAGACCUUACUCUCUACAAUGCACACUCCACACACUUGCUCACUUGACAAACACUUAUUAUAACUGUCACCCUGGGCCCAUUCCAGGUUAGGGACAUAAGGAUGAAUAAAACAAGGUCUGUACCAGUAGAGAACAUCAGUCCUCUAGGGGAGAAAGUCAGGAAAGCCUCAUCCUGAGCCUUCGACUCCUUACUGUCCAUCCUCUAGGCUCCUGUCUCAGCUUCUGCUGAAGGCUAUUUUCUUCCUUGUAUUCUGCAGUGACCAGGCAUAUGGCAGAUAAUCAACAAAUACAGGCAUCCCUGAAGAGGGUAUCCUGGGAUAAAAGCCCCAGCUGGAUCAGUGCUAUACAGGGGCCAACUGGGGGUGGGUUCCAGGCAGGGUCAUUUGCAAGGGUCCCUCUGCCCCUUCAAGUCCUGCCAGACAGGCCUUGGCCAUGGUUUCUUCCUGCCCCUGUCCCCUGACCACAGUUGAUCUCCCCUGGCUGUUAUGAAAUGUCAAAGAAUGUCCUGCAAUCCUAAAUUCCAUAAUGAUCUUUAUCUUCUGUUCCCUCUGAGGCUCCUCAAUCUGCAGUAACAGCUGUGGUUCAGCAAGCAGUGCGGCACUCUGGAGUGCUGUUCUGAAACAGGGCCGGCGUGGGGCAGAGCUCAUCUGCUGCCCUAUCCAUUCACUGUGCUGUUCGGGGCUAGAGAAGAUUCAUGUGUGUAUAUGCUUUUUAAAAAUUGUGAAACAAUAAUUAUGCAGAAAAAUACAUAGAAUAUAUGUUCAGUUUAACAAAUAAUCAUAAAGCAAAUCUCUAUAAAACCACUGCUGCUCUGCAGUGACCCCUGCUUCCCCCUAAGUCGUGCAUAACAAUAGCUACAAUUUACUGACCAUGAACUUCAGGUCACACAGCAAAGGUGUUCUCAUUUAAUCUUUGGCCACCAGAGGCUGCAUAGACUAAAAUGUGAACAGUGUCCCCUGCAGUUGUGGAGUGUGGUGACCCUAUUGGAUCUUCUCAUGCCACUGAGGGAUAUACUGUUUUCUGUAGAGAAGUCCAGCAGAGUCACUGUCCUGGGGGGCAUCCUUCUUGAUCGCCCCCAUGCCAUGAAGGCCCAUUCCUUGCCCAGGGCUCUAGAGUCUGAGCUUCUCCAAGAGGGAAUGGAGUCUUUCGCAGAGGGGCUGUGGAGCCUCGUAAGGCUGAAUCUAACCACGAGCAGGGAUUUUGGGCAGCUGCAUAUCCCAGAUGGUUUCCCAGUGGAUCAGCUUCCUGUUGCUGCUCUAAUAAACUAACAUAAACUUAGGGGCUUAAAACAACACAAAUUUCUUUUCUUAUAGUUCCGUAGGUCAGAAGUCCAAAACAGGUCUCACUGGGCUAAACUGAAGGUGUCAGCAGGGCUGCAUUCCUUCCUGGGGGCUCUAGUAGAGAAUCUCUUUCCUUUCUUCCCCUUUCCAGCUUUUAGAGGCUGCCUGCAUUCCUUGGCCUGCGGCCCCUUCCUCCACCUUCAAAGCCAGCACUGGCUGGCCAGGUCUUUCAUAUAUUGCAAUCUCUCUGCUUCUGCUUCUGCUUCUGACCCUUCUGCCUCUCUCUUCUCCAUUUAAGAAUGCUUGUGAUUACAUUGGGCUCACCCACCCCAGUUUCUACCCAAUAAUCCAGGGUAAUCUCCCAAACUUAAAGAGAGAAAACAAUACUAGCACCCCCAAAGCACCUACGUGUUCCCCUACUAAUCACAACCCCAACCCUCCCUUCUGCAUAAGUAGACAUUUGUAAUAAUUCUGUGCUUUUUGUAGUUUGACCUCCUCUGCAUGUAUCCUUAACAAUACAGUUUUGCCAGCUGUUAAAUUUUUGCUAAAAGGAA
rnacentral:lncRNA from 1 species